rnacentral:lncRNA from 1 species
GCGACGCAAAAAGCCCCAUUCCAAGUUAGAGCUCUCGACCCGUUUACCCGACCUGACGAACUGCGUAGUGAUCGACCAGAACCUCUCCAUUCGGCGACGAUAGGGCGGUGCACCGGUACCGUUCGGUUCUUCUUGACGACGCCGACGUGCCUCUUGUCACGGAUCGUCCAUGCAGGGAACGAGGAGAGAAAAUCGAGGCUCGAAAGUUUCUAACUUUCUGGCGGUUCCGCAGCAUUUUCCGGCGAUCG